rnacentral:rRNA from 1 species
GACGAACGCUGGCGGCAAGCUUAACACAUGCAAGUCGAACGCCGUAGCAAUACGGAGUGGCAGACGGGUGAGUAACGCGUGGGAACGUGCCUUUCGGUUCGGAACAACUGAGGGAAACUUCAGCUAAAACCGGAUACGCCCUUCGGGGGAAAGUUUACGCCGAAAGAUCGGCCCGCGUUAGAUUAGCUAGUUGGUGGGGUAAUGGCCUACCAAGGCGACGAUCUAUAGCUGUUCUGAGAGGAAGAUCAGCCACACUGGGACUGAGACACGGCCCAGACUCCUACGGGAGGCAGCAGUGGGGAAUAUUGGACAAUGGGCGCAAGCCUGAUCCAGCUAUGCCGCGUGGAUGAAGAAGGCCUUAGGGUUGUAAAGUCCUUUCGUUGGUGAAGAUAAUGACGGUAACCAAAGAAGAAGCCCCGGCUAAUUUCGUGCCAGCCGCCGCGGUAAUAC